GACUUAUGCAACGAUAACUGAAAGUAAUCAACUUAUUUCACAUAUAUAAUCAUGGUUUUGAAUACACCCUUAGCCAAAACGAAUUUAGCCAAUCAUACUCAAAGCAAAACAAAGAUUACAUGAAUUAGACAUUGAAAUAUAAGAUAGAAUACACCUAAAAUUGUUCAACAACUCAGAAUGAAGAGCCAAACAAUUGAGUGAAUCUGUCCCCUUUCCUUGCUUGCGGCAGAUUGGAUGUUGGUGGUUUCUUGGGUAAUUGAAUGAUGUAGAAUGGAUGGAAGACGUAUGGAAGUGUUUAGGGUUGAUGGGUGGUGCGGCUAGGGUGGUUUUGGGUCAGAAAAUAUGGUGAAUGGUGAAGGAAUGGGGCUGUUGAAGGUGGUGUUCAGUUUCUGGCGUGAAUGGGUGAGUUUCUGGAUGAAUGGGCUUUUGUGGCUGCACAAACAUGUUUAUUUAAAGGGAUUAGGAAAUUAAAAACCCUAGGCUAAUUAGGUAAUCAGGAAUUAAGUUUAAAGCUUCUAGAAUUAAGGAAACAAAUCAGAAAAUUAAGGGAAAGGGCAAGGGAAAUUCG
rnacentral:lncRNA from 1 species